UAGGAGGUUCCAACCUUGCAAUUUCAGUUUCGGUGUCACUGGUAGCUAUGCACCAUUUUUGGGGACUAGAACAGGACUUGAGACACUGAGGAGACAUCCUGCAUCUGCUGCUGCUCUGUGUGUGAUACUCUCAUUUCAGCCCUUCAUGUAAACUUGGAGAUGUGUGCUUCCUACUGUGUCCCUGCUCUCAACAUGGCCAAUGGAGAAAGGGAAGAAGGGGUCAUUUUGAAGUGUUCCUGAAUUACAGUUUUAAACCCAGAAUACACUGGCCAUUUGUUUUGAAAAGAAAAAACAACCCAAGGAAGCUGGGAAUUUCUGAGUCGGAAUUUCUAAAGCAAUAUAAACAGUGAUAGAGAUAAGAGACAUCCUUGUUGUAUCUGAUGUAAAGGGAAUCCCUCUAAGAUUUUGGUGUCAGGGAUAUACAUUCACUCCAUUGCACGAUAUUGGUUGGUGUAUCUUGUGAAAGCCAGAGUGACUGUCUAAGAUGCCAGAUGGACAAGGCAGGCCAGACUUUGAAUAGACUAAUGAAGUAUGACUGCAGCCCUACGCAGGCUGUGCUGGCUGAGCCAACAGACUCAGCAGAGCCCUGGACCAUCAGAUGCUGGCCUAAGCCAUGCGGUAGCGACAACGUGACACAUCCACAGCCUGGACCAGGUGCCAGCAGAUUGCUUGUUAGUUGUGAUUUCACCAAUAACUGGUUAUGUUGCUUGGGCAAGUUUGAAGUCUCAGUCUCAUCCUUUUUAAGAAGUAGAGAUUCACUCUAGAUUCCCUCCUAACUCCAACUUUCUGCUUUUCAAUAAUUUUUUAAUUUUCGUUUGUAAGAUGUGCAAAGUUAUAAAUCUUUUGAUCCUGGCUUCACAACCUUAGCUAGAUGAUCUAGGAGUCUACUUGAGAAUAAUAUGUUCUCUCUAGGAAAGAUGUUUGUGUUACCAAACAGCCAUCAAUCAUGGUUAUAUCCUGAACAGUGUUAAUCAGACUCAAGAAUAUGCUAUUUUACUGCUAACAGAUUUCUUAAUUAAAUUACUGAAAUGGUUCAAAAGAGUUUGAAGUUUUGGGAAUAGGAUUUAAAGUACAGUCUCUUCCAUCAGUUUUUACAAUUUGAGCUACUUAUUACUUAUUUAAGGUUUUUUUUUUUUUAAAUGUGUUGUCAAAUUUCCUUAAAACAAGCAAGAACUUAAACUUUGCAUAAAGCGUGGUUUCAUUGCCUGGUCGUUCCUAGCAAAGUGGCUUUGCUCUCUCCCCUAUUGGAAUUGACCCAAUCACAUCUCCCUCCAAUUUUUUUACUUCUUGUAUUCUCACGAUUCCAGUUAUAAGACCUUCAGCAAUAAAUUUAAUAUGGAAUCAGACAAAAAUGAGUUAACAUUUUUUCAGGUUCUUCUUUGCUUCUAGAUAAUCAGGUCUUAGAUCAAUUCUUUGAGAGUUUGAAUUAAAGUGAGGAAAACAAAGUUGAAUGAGAAGGAUGCUACAUAUCAGGAGAUUUUUUCCUCAGGUUUAUUUGGGACUUUUGAAGUUUUCAUAUGUUUAUACAGUUGCUUACUGCAGUUACUUG
ensembl:lncRNA